AUUGAACGCUGGCGGCAGGCCUAACACAUGCAAGUCGAGCGGAUGAAGGGAGCUUGCUCCUGGAUUCAGCGGCGGACGGGUGAGUAAUGCCUAGGAAUCUGCCUGAUAGAGGGGGCUGACGUCCGGACACGGGCGCUAAUACCGCAUACGUCCAGAGAGAGAACGUGGGGGAUCAUCGGACCAAGCGCUAUCAGCUGAGCCUAGGACGGAUUAGCUAGUUGGUGGGGUAAGGGCCUACCAAGGCGACGAUCCGUAACUGGUCUGAGAGGAUGAUCAGUCACACUGGAACUGAGACACGGUCCAGACUCCUACGGGAGGCAGCAGUGGGGAAUAUUGGACAAUGGGCGAAAGCCUGAUGCAGCCAUGCCGCGUGUGUGAAGAAGGUCUUCGGAUUGUAAAGCACUUUAAGUUGGGAGGAAGGGCAGUAAGUUAAUACCUUGCUGUUUUGACGUUACCAACAGAGUAAGCACCGGCUAACUUCGUG
rnacentral:rRNA from 1 species